AAACACGAAAGGAGAGCCUGGGCUCUCCUUCAAUGUGUCUUGCCUGCUCUUUUUAUUUUUAUAGGGCGGUCUGUUCUUGUUUUUGGCGACCAGUCCCUUUACUGCGUUCUUGUGUGAUCCCCAUCCGGGAUCAAGAGCAAACGUAUUUUUUUGAGCGCUGAUUCACUUUAACCAUGGGUCUGCACAACGUCAUGGUCCAGCCGGUACGGGAAGCUACCUGAAGGUAGUU
rnacentral:misc_RNA from 1 species